CCUCCGACCUGAAUCCCUCAGAGAAUCUCCAAGUUAUUGUGAAGAAAAAGAUGAGAAACACCCAACCAAAAACUACUGAAGGCCACUAUUAGAGCAACCUGGGCUUCAGUAACACCUCAGCAGGGCCACAGGCUGAUUGCCUCCUUGCCGUGCUGCAUAGAAGUAAUUUGUGUCAAAGGAGCUCCAACCAAGUUAUGAGAAUAAAAAUGAAAAUCGAAAUGAUCUGAAAUAUUCUAAUUUGAGCAUUUCUGAUUUUCAUAAGCUACAUCUAAGCCAAAAUCCUCAAAAUCAAAAAGGGUUGAAAUAGUUCAAUUUGCUUGUAAGGAAUAAGAAAUAUGUGAAAGUUUGAAUUAAAUUUUGAAAGAAAUACCUUUUUUUUUUUUUUUUUACAAUGUAUGAUUUUCUUUUAAACACAAACAUUUCUGUCAAUGUUUGUUUUAGCAUGUAGCUAAAAUAUAACCAAACACUGACACUAACACUUACAUUGCCUUUGAGAACUAAUGCCUUUUAACAAAGUGAAGCAUUGUCCUACUAAACUUAAUCGUAAGAAAAUCAGCUGAAGCUACCUACUAACCUACACACUGUCCCUGACCGUGUUAUUAAGACAGCUCAGACUGAUGUCAAACUGUUCUACUUUUCUCUAAAGGACUUUGCUCUUCUUUUUAUUUCCAUGUAUUUAUACAAUGUCAUGCAACCUUGGGUUAAACGUGAGUUUCACUUUCAAGGUGAAACAAAAAAUGACCUUAAAUAUGUCUUCAUCCCAGUUCACCCAAAGCAAAUAUGACUUGGUUACAUUCACAUGUGUCUUAGCUUCAACAUUACACUCAGAUUGCACUCUUUCUGAACACACCCUAGGACUAUUGCCAUCAGCCUUUAAUAGGAUCAUACUUCUUUAAAUGGCUGAGGCCACUGGCUUCAUUCAGUGCUGCAGUGAUACUCUAAUCUGCAGUAUCUAUCCUGCUAUACCUAAGGGGGCUUCCUGACCCCACACAUUGCAUCAAAUCCCAGUUGACACAGAGCAUUAGGUUAGCCAGUAAUGAUUUGUCACUCCAAUCCUCUCCUUAGCAGAAGCUGGCCAAGAACUAGAUGGCCCAGUCUUG
ensembl:lncRNA